rnacentral:rRNA from 1 species
AGUGAACGCUGGCGGCAGGCCUAAUACAUGCAAGUCGAACGGCAGCACAGUGGCGCUUGCUCCAUGGGUGGCGAGUGGCGGACGGGUGAGGAAUACAUGGGAAUCUGCCCAGUCGUGGGGGAUAACGUAGGGAAACUUACGCUAAUACCGCAUGCGCCCUUCGGGGGAAAGCCGGGGACCUUCGGGCCUGGCGCGAUUGGAUGAGCCCAUGUUCGAUUAGCUAGUUGGCGGGGUAAAGGCCCACCAAGGCGACGAUCGAUAGCUGGUCUGAGAGGAUGAUCAGCCACACUGGGACUGAGACACGGCCCUGACUCCUACGGGAGGCAGCAGUAGGGAAUAUUGGACAAUGGGCGCAAGCCUGAUCCAGCCAUGCCGCGUGAGUGAAGAAGGCCCUCGGGUUGUAAAGCUCUUUUGUCCGGGAAGAAAAGCAUCGGGCUAAUACCUCGGUGUUCUGACGGUACCGGAAGAAUAAGCACCGGCUAACUUCGUG